UGACAUUGUCUUUAUUGAAAGAUGCAUGGUCUCGAACAUUUUCUGAAUAGGAACUGAUGAGGACGUUAUUAAAUGUUGCUAUGUACUGCAAAGAGCAUGGCCUCCAUCGUAUUAUUACCAAUAUGAUAUGGUUCAACCUUCCACAAACUAUACAGCUGAUCAAUAAUGUGAUCAAUAACAUUAUAUGAUUUUUCUCGUUGUUUCUGUAGCACGAAAUCCGCAACACAUUUUAAUAGAGAAAUACCGUUAAAAA